rnacentral:lncRNA from 1 species
AUUCGCGUAUCUAAUAAAAGGUACUGCCUUAAGGCAGGCGUUGUAGGGGGCUAAUACCUUCCCUACACGUAACCGAUUCCCGAACCUAGAAUCUGGUUUUUGUAGACCAAGCCUUAUCAUUUUAUGGUUUUUCCGUAGUUUUCCAGAAUAAACUAUGGUGGUGACUCCGAAACUUUUUUCAAACACAUAUCUUUUGGAUCGUCUUCCCGUCGCGAUUCCGGUUGUGACAGUAGGAGUUGCCUUCAAUAACAAUUGCUCCUUCUCUCUAUUUUCUUGCUCUUUCUUCUUUUCUUCUUCUCGCCUCUCUCUUUCUCUUCUUAUCUCUUCUUUUAUCUCUUCUUCUUUUCUCUCUUGCUCUCUUCUUUUAAUCUCUCUUUCUUUUUUCUCUUCUUCUUCUCUCUUUUCUUCUUCUCUCUUCUCUUCUCCUCUCUUCCCUAUCUUCCUCUUCUUUUCUCUCUAUCUCUCUUUCUCUUUUCUUUUCCUUGAUCACUUUAAGUUUAUGCCCAAAUUCUAAUUCUCUCCUAAGAAACCCAUGAUCACUUAAACUCUUAAGAAACAUUUUUCCAUCUUCAAUGCAAUCUCUAAUUAAUUCUAGUUUCUUUUAAUGUUUGAAGGCACAAACUUUCUUCUCAUGCAAGCUUUUAAAUCACACCAAUCACGAAUGGGAGACUUUCUACCUUUCCUAACAUAAUAUUGUCUUUCAUCUCACCACUUACUUGCAUGUCCUUCUAACUUAGAGAGAUAAAUACUAAGGACAUAAGAUUCACUCUCUCUAUAAAACCAAGGAUUUAUUUUUUCAACU